CAAAAGUAGGGCCUGUGGCUUCUCCAAACUCCUGUGAAGUUGAUGAUGGGAGAGCCAAGUAAGGUAUCCUCCGGUUUUCCCAACCCUAGGGAGGUACUUAAUACCAACACGGAGGUACGACGAGGAGGUACUUCCUAGUACCGGUAAACCAAACGUCUAUUCCAAA
rnacentral:lncRNA from 1 species